AGAAAGACUGGCCUGCUACAGUCCAUGGGGUUGUAGAGUCGGACAUGACUUAGCCACUGAAUAACAACAUUUUGAAUAUCUCAAUAUCUGUUACUGGUUUUCAAUUUUUAAAGUCAAACUAUUUUGGAAACUUAACUAAAUUAAGCUUGGAAGGUGUCCUCCAGUGCCCCAAGUGCUGCCUGUCUGCCCAGCACGAGGUUCUAGAGAGGCCGACCUAGGAGAACCCUCUUUCCAUCUCCCCCGUCCCUUCCCUCCUACAAACACGAGGAGGACGAGAGGCCCUUCUGGCCCUCCGUAGUGAAUGUUCCCCUAAGCCAGAGCCCAGACUCUUAAAAGAAAUCUCCGAAGCUUGUGGUCCUUUCUUUUGGAUUUGCUUAGCUCCUGGCAAUUUGCUUAAUCCUUUUCUUGGAGGUGUCUGCAGCUUCCUGGGACCCUCAUUAACAGUGGGUGGAUCCACCCCAGAAUGUCUCAUUGAUGAGCCCCUCGUAGCAGGCUUUGCGGAUGACCUGUUUCAGGGUGUGCUUUGAGGAAGACGUUAUGUUCAUGUGUGUCUAAAGCAAGCCCCUGGAACGUGCCCCGUGUUCAUUCGUCUAACGGCCCCAGCAUCUACACUGUCAGUUUCUGUUGCCACGCUUGUCAGUGCCACCAUCAGUUCUGACUCACUCAGGGGCCUUGUGCAAACCACUGGCAUCAAUAUUCUGAGGCUGCUGCCAAACAAACGCUAGGUAGCUCUUCUGGGAAGAGUCGUAUUUCUGACUGCAGCUGCCCAUUCAUCAAGCGUCUGGAAUUGGCCCUAAUCUUGUCUGUUGGCCCCGGAUAUGCCAUCUCCCUGCUCUGAUUAAGCUUUCCCAUCCCACACCUCAUUGCCUCCUCAUCCACAUUCCUCGGCCCAAUCUUUAUUUCAGGAGAUAUCAUUGUUCUCCAAUCUCAUAUAAUUACCAUUCCAGUGUGACUCAACCAUAUCCAACGAAGCACUGAAAAAUACUCCUUGAAACAGUAAGGACUGGGGGAGUCAUUGAAUCAUAACAAGGUCUGCCGCUGGGAAAUGAACAGCAGGGACGGGUGAGUCUCUAAACAGAAGAAAUCUGAUUUUCCUGCAACAUCCCUGUGAAAUCAAAGUGUGCAAGAAUCAUCAAGACAGGGUGUCACUGAUAUCUGAUGAGUUCUGAGAACUUCUGCAGUAAAGAACCCCUGGAAAACUUCAGAUUAAACAAACAAGCACAACAAACAAACAGAUAUCUAAUGAUGCCUCCCAAUGGGCGAGAUGGAGGAAGCUUGGAGCUCGCUUCUGAUGCAAUACUGUCAACAGUCUCAGAGCUUGUGACCCUGUGUGUUAUGUGUGCACACAAUAACAUCCAACUUAGGUCUUUGGUGAAGACUCACUUCGAGUGCUCCCAGGACUAUAUGAGAACCAAGUAAUAGAUUAUUCCUCUCCCUGAUCUGUAAGUGGCCCCUUGGAAAGACCUCUCCAGGUAUGGGGGAGGGAGGUAUGGGGAGCAGCAGUCCCCUGCAGUGCUAUAUAAAGCCAGAGGUUCAUAAAGAGCACACAAAAUGCCCUCCUCUCUGGGAUUACAGCUAAGCUGUCUCUCUGCUAUAUUCAAGUUUUUGCUGCAUCUUUUCUGCCAUCUACUAGCUGACUAGGCAAAUCCAUUAAAUUCUCUGUGAAUCAGCUCCCCCACUUAUAAAAUAAGUGCAAUUCUACCCAUUUCAUAAGGUUUUUAAGAGGAUGGAAUGAGCAAAUAUAAAUAUAUCUAAUUUCAUGUCUGGUGUAUAGUUAGUAUAGUUGAUAACGCUAUUAUUAUUACUGCUCUUCAGUUUUUUCCCCCCGACUGCAUCAAAUCUUAGUUGCAGUGUGCAGAAUCUGUUUUGGUGGCAUGUGGAAUCUAGUUCCCCUGACCAGGGAUCAAACCUGUGUCCCCUGAGUUGGAAAGCAGAUUCUCAACCACUGGACCACUAGGAAAGUCCCCGGACUCCUUUUAAUAUGAGUGGAAACACUUGGGGAUAGCACUGGGGACAAAGGAUUUGCUUCCCAGAAAAUCUGAUGGACAGAGGAGCCUGGUGGGCUACAGUCCUUGGGGUCGCAAUGAGUUGGACAUGACUGAGUGACUGAGUGAC